rnacentral:rRNA from 1 species
UACGAAGGGGGCUAGCGUUGCUCGGAAUCACUGGGCGUAAAGGGUGCGUAGGCGGGUCUUUAAGUCGGGGGUGAAAUCCUGGAGCUCAACUCCAGAACUGCCUUUGAUACUGAAAGUCUUGAGUAUGGGAGAGGUGAGUGGAACUGCGAGUGUAGAGGUGAAAUUCGUAGAUAUUCGCAAGAACACCAGUGGCGAAGGCGGCUCACUGGCCCAUAACUGACGCUGAGGCACGAAAGCGUGGGGAGCAAACAGG